rnacentral:rRNA from 1 species
GUGGGGAAUCUUAGACAAUGGGGGAAACCCUGAUCUAGCCAUGCCGCGUGAUCGAUGAAGGCCUUAGGGUUGUAAAGAUCUUUCAGGUGGGAAGAUAAUGACUGUACCACCAGAAGAAGCCCCGGCUAACUCCGUGCCAGCAGCCGCGGUAAUACGGAGGGGGCUAGCGUUGUUCGGAAUUACUGGGCGUAAAGCGCACGUAGGCGGAUUGGAAAGUUGGGGGUGAAAUCCCGGGGCUCAACCCCGGAACUGCCUUCAAAACUCCCAGUCUUGAGUUCGAGAGAGGUGAGUGGAAUUCCGAGUGUAGAGGUGAAAGUCGUAGAUAUUCGGAAGAACACCAGUGGCGAAGGCGACUGACUGGACAAGUAUUGACGCUGAGGUGCGAAAGCGUGGGGAGCAAACAGGAUUAGAAACCCCUGUAGUCC